rnacentral:miRNA from 2 species
UAUGCGUCCUCUUUGGAUAUUG